GUGGAACGCCUUCGAUUGCUGAUUAGUUAAGGUUGAUGAAUGAAUCGAUGAGGUGAACUCUCUAAAAAAUUCAGCUGAUGCAUGAUUAAUUCCACUUGAUGAAUCGAUUAGUGGUAGCGAUGUGAAGAUGGAUUUGGUUCUGGUGACAUCUAUGUCGACAUGGAAAGGUUUUGCUCUGAGUUUGGUCUGUUUCUUCAAGAUAAUCAUAAGUUUCUGAAUCUAUUUGUUGCUGCUGCUAGGCCUGUUCACGAGGUAGCAGGACUAAUUGGAGGGCUUAAAGGAUGCAUGGCACAAUCGUUAUGAGCAGAUGGUUUUGUAUGAGUAGAUGGGUAUUUUG